CUCGCACCUGUAUAUAUAGAUGCCAGUGGCAAAACCUGGCACAGUGCCAACAGUGGUCAGGAGGUAAACAACCUCCGGUCACACUUCCUCAUAGACUGGGAGAGUAAACCACAAACUCACUUAAAGAAGACGCUCUUCUCAGGGUCCCGAGAAGAAGAGGAAGCUCCUCUCAGAUUCAGACCUCAUCACCACUGACUACAUGGAGGACUCAUCCUGUGUGCUCUGUUUUCAUCCACUCUCAGUGCACUUCUUUGUCUUCAUAUUGGAGGAUAUCUCUUCAGUCAUUUUUAGAACAUGUUUUAAUAUAAAAUAUCAUUGUUAGUUAGAAAGUUACACUUGUCUGAUAAGUGCAUCAUGACUGAACUAUAAUAUAACUGAACUAACUAUAUUGAACUAUAAUAUAAUGUGUAGUGUGGACAACUUCCGGUUCCUGGGAUCUACUAUCUCCCAGGACCUGAAGUGGACCUCCCACAUAGACUCCAUUAGGAAGAAGGCACAGCAGAGGCUGUAAUUCCUCAGACAGCUCAGGAAGUUCAACCUGUCCCGAGAACUGCUCAUCAUCUUUUACACCUCCAUCAUCCAGUCUGUCCUGUCUCUCUCCAUCACUGUUUGGUUUCCCUCUGCCUCCAAACGUGACAGGUGCACACUGCAGCACACAGUAAAGUCUGCAGAGAAGAUCAUUGGAGUCAGCCUGCCCUCCAUCCAGGACUUGUACCGGUCAAGGACCAGGAAGCGGGCCAGUAACAUCUCUGCAGACCCCUCACACCCUGGACACUCACUUUUCAAACUCCUCCGCUCCGGUCGGCGUUACAGAGUUCUGUACGCAAAAACAUCCAGACACAAGAACAGUUUCUUCCCCCGGGCCGUCACACUGAUGAACACUUAACACUGUGUCAUAAACUAGCUACCUCAUGGACAGAGCCACCUUAUUUUUUGCACUAUUACACGUUAAGUUUGUCUAUUGUUUCCUUAUUGCACUCGUUCUUUUUGUACUUAUAUGUAUAUAUUUUAUUAGUACUUGAUUUUUAGUGUCUGUCUAUUUAUGUUUGUACAGAGAGUACGCAAAAAAUACCUGAGUCAAAUUUUUUGUAUUCUUGAGGGACAUUGUGAAUAAAGUUCUUUCUGAUUCUGA